GAACCAGCGGAGGGAUCAUUACUGAGUUACCGCUCUAUAACCCUUUGUGAACAUACCUAACCGUUGCUUCGGCGGGCAGGGGAAGCCUCUGGCGGGCCUCCCCUCCCGGCGCCGGCCCCACCACGGGGACGGGGCGCCCGCCGGAGGAAACCAAACUCUAUUUACACGACGUCUCUUCUGAGUGGCACAAGCAAAUAAUUAAAACUUUUAACAACGGAUCUCUUGGUUCUGGCAUCGAUGAAGAACGCAGCGAAAUGCGAUAAGUAAUGUGAAUUGCAGAAUUCAGUGAAUCAUCGAAUCUUUGAACGCACAUUGCGCUCGCCAGCAUUCUGGCGAGCAUGCCUGUUCGAGCGUCAUUUCAACCCUCAAGCACCGCUUGGUUUUGGGGCCCCACGGCACACGUGGGCCCUUAAAGGUAGUGGCGGACCCUCCCGGAGCCUCCUUUGCGUAGUAACUAACGUCUCGCACUGGGAUUCGGAGGGACUCUUGCCGUAAAACCCCCCAAUUUUUUACAGGUUGACCU
rnacentral:rRNA from 1 species